rnacentral:lncRNA from 1 species
GUGAAGGUAAUAUCCACUUCCGGCGAGUGGUCUUCAAACAUAUCCACCGUCAUCACAGACCUCGCGUACCUCUUCCUCUGUGAUGCGGUGCAUCCACCUCCUGAGAAACCCCCUGCAAUGGUGUGGAUCUCUCCGUGCGUAGGCAUCUCGUGCUGCUGAGCCUCAGCACCUGCUGGUUGGGAGCUCGACGCGCCCCCCGUCCUUCUAUCCAGCAAAUAGUC